UCAGGCCUAACACAUGCAAGUCGAACGGCAGCACGGACUUCGGUCUGGUGAAGAAUGGCGAACGGGUGAGUAAUACAUCGGAACGUGCCCAGUCGUGGGGGAUAACGUAGCGAAAGCUACGCUAAUACCGCAUACGAUCUAAGGAUGAAAGCGGGGGAUCGCAAGACCUCGCGCGAUUGGAGCGGCCGAUGGCAGAUUAGGUAGUUGGUAGGGUAAAGGCCUACCAAGCCGACGAUCUGUAGCUGGUCUGAGAGGAUGAUCAGCCACACUGGGAUUGAGACACGGCCCAGACUCCUACGGGAGGCAGCAGUGGGGAAUUUUGGACAAUGGACGCAAGUC
rnacentral:rRNA from 1 species